rnacentral:rRNA from 1 species
UACGUAGGGGGCAAGCGUUGUCCGGAAUCAUUGGGCGUAAAGAGCGUGUAGGCGGCCCGGUAAGUCCGCUGUGAAAGUCCAGGGCUCAACCCUGGGAUGCCGGUGGAUACUGUCGGGCUCGAGUCCGGAAGAGGAGUGUGGAAUUCCUGGUGUAGCGGUGAAAUGCGCAGAUAUCAGGAAGAACACCGGUGGCGAAGGCGGGUCUCUGGGCCGAUACUGACGCUGAGGAGCGAAAGCGUGGGGAGCGAACAGG